AGGGAAACAGCUCAGUGGUAGGGCACAUGCUUAGCAUGCACGAGGUCCUGGGUUUGAUCCCUAGUACCUCUG
rnacentral:tRNA from 1 species